rnacentral:rRNA from 1 species
UACGAAGGUGGCAAGCGUUGUUCGGAAUUACUGGGCGUAAAGGGCGCGUAGGCGGCCCGCUAAGUCGAACGUGAAAUCCCCAGGCUCAACCUGGGAACUGCGUCCGAUACUGGCAGGCUUGAAUCCGGGAGAGGGAUGUGGAAUUCCAGGUGUAGCGGUGAAAUGCGUAGAUAUCUGGAGGAACACCGGUGGCGAAGGCGGCAUCCUGGACCGGUAUUGACGCUGAGGCGCGAAAGCUAGGGGAGCAAACGGG